GAUGAAGAACGCAGCGAAAUGCGAUAAGUAAUGUGAAUUGCAGAAUUCAGUGAAUCAUCGAAUCUUUGAACGCACCUUGCGCCCUUUGGCUAUUCCGAAGGGCAUGCCUGUUUGAGUAUGAUGAACACCUCAACUCUCAUGGUUUGCCAUGAUGAGCUUGGACUUUGGGGGUCUUGCCGGCCUAUGGGUCGGCUCCUCUCAAAUUAAUCAGCUUGCCAGUGUUUGGUGGCAUCACAGGUGUGAUAACUAUCUACGCUUGUGGUUUUCCAUCAGGUAACCUUCAGUGAUGGAGGUUCGCUGGGGCUCAUAAAUGUCUCUCCUCAGUGAGGACAGCUUUUUUGAACGUUUGAUCUCAAAUCAGGUAGGACUACCCGCUGAACUUAAGCAUAUCAAUAAGCGGAGGA
rnacentral:misc_RNA from 1 species